GUAUUAGAUACGAGUUAUAGUUCACACAUUUAUUAAAAUGUGUGUUGUCUAACUAAAACAGGAGAGUGGGACCAAGGAAAUUUGACUUACGCAUUUGUUUUGAGCAAUAGUUGUUGCUAAAUGCAUAAGGUCUUAUGGAUUUGAUCUAUCUUUGGGUUUGUGGACAUGUUAGAUUGUUAUUUUGUUCUUGGAAUUACGAGGAAUAUAAUUUCCAUUCUCGUGUUAGAC
rnacentral:lncRNA from 1 species